UCGAGGAUCUUCGUCAAUGGGCGAAAGCCUGACGCAGCGACGCCGCGUGAGUGAUGAAGGCCUUCGGGUUGUAAAGCUCUGUGGGGAGAGAAGAAUAAGUGCGGGCUAAUACUCCGCAUGAUGACGGUAUCUCCUUAGCAAGCACCGGCUAACUCUGUGCCAGCAGCCGCGGUAAGACAGAGGGUGCAAACGUUGUUCGGAAUUACUGGGCGUAAAGCGAGUGUAGGCGGUUUGGUAAGUCGGAUGUGAAAGCCCCGGGCUCAACCCGGGAAGUGCACUCGAUACUGCCAAGCUAGAGUAUGGUAGAGGGUGGUGGAAUUUCCUGUGUAGCGGUGAAAUGCGUAGAUAUAGGAAGGAACACCAGUGGCGAAGGCGACCACCUGGACUGAUACUGACACUGAGGCACGAAAGCGUGGGGAGCAAACAGGAUUAGAUACCCCCGUAGUCCCUGAGCGGGCUGGCAAGGCGCAU
rnacentral:rRNA from 1 species